rnacentral:rRNA from 1 species
GGACGGGUGAGUAACGCGUGAGUAACCUGCCUUACAGAGGGGAAUAACGUCUGGAAACGGACGCUAAUACCGCAUAACAUUUCUUUAUCACAUGGUAGAGGAAUCAAAGGAGCAAUCCACUGUAAGAUGGACUCGCGUCCGAUUAGCUAGAUGGUGAGAUAACAGCCCACCAUGGCGACGAUCGGUAGCCGGACUGAGAGGUUGAACGGCCACAUUGGGACUGAGACACGGCCCAGACUCCUACGGGAGGCAGCAGUGGGGGAUAUUGCACAAUGGAGGAAACUCUGAUGCAGCAACGCCGCGUGAAGGAUGACGGUCUUCGGAUUGUAAACUUUUGUACUUGGGGACGAUAAUGACGGUACCCAAGCAGCAAGCUCCGGCUAACUACGUGCCAGCAGCCGCGGUAAUACGUAGGGAGCAAGCGUUGUCCGGAUUUACUGGGUGUAAAGGGUGCGUAGGCGGCUAUGUAAGUCAGUUGUGAAAACUAUGGGCUCAACCCAUAGCCUGCAAUUGAAACUGCGUAGCUUGAGUGAAGUAGAGGUAGGUGGAAUUCCCGGUGUAGCGGUGAAAUGCGUAGAGAUCGGGAGGAACACCAGUGGCGAAGGCGACCUACUGGGCUUUAACUGACGCUGAGGCACGAAAGCAUGGGUAGCAAACAGGAUUAGAUACCCUGGUAGUCCAUGCUGUAAACGAUGAUUACUAGGUGU